GGAAAGUUGCCCGAAUUGGUAAAGGGGAUGACCUGCUAAGCCAUUGUUGCUAUCAGCGACGCAUGAGUUCGAACCUCAUACUUUCCGCCA
rnacentral:tRNA from 1 species